GGAACCUGCGGAAGGAUCAUUA
rnacentral:ncRNA from 11 species